rnacentral:rRNA from 1 species
GCUGGUGUUUUGUUUCGAUGUGUCCCACCUCUUCCCAUUCCGAACAGAGUCGUGAAAGCAUCGUGAGCCGAUGAUACUAGCUGCUUCGGCGGCCGGGAAAGUAGGAUAUGCCAGCA